UUAUCCAUUGUAACUCUCUCUCUCUCUCUCUCUCUCUCUCUCUCUCCGUAUAUAGAUUUUCUACUCAAAUUUCUCACAUUACGACUUCCUAAGAAAUGCUUCUGCAAGCUCUGCCAAUGGAUCUUCUAAACCCCACCAAAACCCUGAAACAGUCCCCACGUCUUCUUCAAUCAGCACCGUUCAAUUCUCCACCUCUCUUCCUCAACACCCAUCAUCUCCCCACUCUCACUCUCAGUAGCCGCAGUAGGAAUAAGAGAUAUCUCCUUUUCAGGAUUGGGUGCAAGCUCAAAACCUCCAAAGAUAGGCAAAACAAGCCAAUGCCCAAGAAGAUAACCGUCCCCGAUGCCGCCCCUUCAGUUUCCGAAGGGAAUGAAGGCAGUCCCCCCGAAUUCAGAAUAUCUGAUGGAAUUUCCUUCGUGGGUUUCUUUAGAAAGAUGCCUAGAAGGAUUCUAUCAGGUCUCUCCAACCUCCCUUUGGCUAUUGGAGAGAUGUUCACCAUUGCAGGCCUUAUGGCUUUGGGCACAUUCAUAGAUCAGGGCGAGGCCCCAGAUUUCUAUUUCCAGAAGUAUCCAGAAGAAAAUCCAGUCCUAGGAUUUUUCACUUGGAGAUGGGUUCUUGGGCUCGGCUUCGACCACAUGUUUUCCUCUCCUGUCUUCCUUGGAAUGUUGGUUCUUCUCGCUGCAUCGCUCAUGGCCUGUACUUACACGACACAGAUACCUCUGGUUAAAGUUGCAAGAAGAUGGUCUUUCUUGCAUUCAGCUGAUGUUAUUCGCAAGCAGGAAUUCUCGGACUCUCUGCCGCGGGCUUCAAUUCAAGAUUUGGGUGUUAUUUUGAUGGGUGCAGGAUAUGAGGUGUUCUUAAAAGGGCCAUCCUUGUAUGCCUUCAAGGGGCUGGCUGGUCGAUUUGCCCCCAUUGGAGUACAUUUGGCGAUGUUGCUGAUAAUGGGAGGAGCAACUCUCAGUGCUGUGGGAAGCUUUCGAGGUUCAGUGACUGUUCCUCAAGGACUGAAUUUCGUUGUGGGGGAUGUACUGGGUCCAAGUGGCUUCCUUUCUACUCCUACACCGGCUUUUGACACUGAAGUCCAUGUUAACAGAUUCUACAUGGACUAUUAUGAUAGUGGAGAGGUGUCGCAAUUCCACACUGAUCUUUCACUGUUCAACUUGGACGGGAAAGAAGUCAUGAGGAAAACAAUCAGUGUAAAUGACCCACUAAGAUAUGGAGGGAUCACAAUAUACCAGACGGAUUGGAGUAUCUCAGCCCUUCAAAUACUAAAGGAUGGUGAAGGUCCUUACAAUCUGGCUAUGGCACCUUUGAAGGUGAAUGGAGACAAGAAGCUUUACGGGACAUUCCUACCAGUUGGAGACACCGAUUCUUCUGAUGUGAAGGGAAUAUCGAUGCUUGCACGUGAUCUGCAGUCCAUUAUCUUGUACGAUCAAGAGGGGAAAUUUGCUGGAGUCCGCCGGCCUAGUUCAAAACUUCCAAUCGAAAUCGAUUCCGUAAAAAUUGUGAUCGAAGAUGCAAUUGGUAGUAGCGGCCUUAAUUUGAAGACGGACCCAGGUGUGCCGAUUGUAUAUGCCGGAUUUGGAGCUUUGAUGCUCACUACUUGCAUCAGUUAUUUAUCUCAUUCGCAGAUAUGGGCCCUGCAAGAUGGAACAACUUUGGUCAUUGGAGGGAAGACUAAUCGGGCGAAGCUUGAGUUUCCAGAAGAGAUGAAUCACCUACUCGAUAAGGUUCCAGAAAUAGUAGGCUCUGGGGACCCCCUCAACGGCUUGAUUGGUCAACCAAUAACAAUAGAUUCAUCUCUUCCCGAGCAGUCCGAAAGCAUCACUGGCGAGUUUUAGAGGCAUUGUGAUGCAAAGAAAUUUCAGCAGUGGAGAUAGUUGAGAGCUCGUGUUUGAAAAGACAGUUGGCCAUAUGACAUGUUGCAAUCAUCGCUGCUUCAUUUCAGGUAAUUUUCAACUUGGUUUAUUCAAACAUGAGUCAUUUCUCAGUCACCCAAGAACUUCCAAGAGCAGAACCUGCACUUACGACUACAACUUAUCGGGAAAAACUGGUUGUUCUCCACAUUUCAGAGGUUACAUGGUAGCUGGGUUUGAUGGGCAUGUAAAGAGAAUCUCUAGGGAUGAUAGUUAAGAAGCUACAAGCAGGUAUGGCAUGUGUGGAGAGAGGAAGCAGUUUGCAAGAAGUGGAUAGAUGGGUGGAAACACAAUUUUAAGAGGGUUAUUUGAUAUUCUAGUAAAGUAUUUCACCUGAAAACAUUAGGGCAUCAGCUAUUGCAUCCGGGUCCUUCCAAAUAGCCAAAAACAUCUAUAUCAUGAUAUAUCAGGGGCUUGACUGUUGGUGGGGGAUACCCGAAACUCUCAGAUUGAAGUAUUUCAAUCAUUUGAUUAUUUGAAGGGUAUGAAAACCUUCCAUAUUCAAAUGAUCGGAGGUACAAUAUGUCUAAAUGUAAGAGAUUUUACUUUUUGGUAAAGGGAUUAUCAUAUAAAUGGUCAAGUUGUUUGGAAGAUGACCCAGACCCAAAGUCUGAAGUCCCAAUGUAUCUCAUAUCAAUGCAACA